AGUAAAGAUGGCUGCCAUCUCUCCAGCUUGCUGCACUGGGCUCCACUGUGAUGUCACCCAGGAGCUUUUGCUUUGGAUAAGCCUUUCAUGUCUCUGGGCUCUUUGGUCUCAUUGCUGGUCAACUACAAGGCCUGCAGGGUGCAGCCCAGCCAACACCCUCCCUCCUUCCUGUUCCGCAGAAGGAAUACUCUCCUCUGGCUGUAUUUCAUAACGAAAAUGAGAAGCAGAGACUAAAUGGCUCAG
rnacentral:lncRNA from 1 species